rnacentral:rRNA from 1 species
GACGGAGGGUGCUAGCGUUGUUCGGAAUUACUGGGCGUAAAGGGCGCGUAGGCGGCCUUCUCAGUCGGGUGUGAAAGCCCGGGGCUCAACCCCGGAACGGCACCCGAGACGGGCAGGCUGGAGACCGGGAGAGGAGGGUGGAAUAGCCAGUGUAGAGGUGAAAUUCGUAGAUAUUGGCUGGAACACCGGUGGCGAAAGCGGCUCUCUGGCCCGGUUCUGACGCUGAGGCGCGAAAGCGUGGGGAGCAAACAGG